rnacentral:rRNA from 1 species
AUGAACGCUGGCGGCGUGCCUAAUCCCUGCAAGUCGCGCGAACGGACGAGAAGCUUGCUUCUCUGAUGUUAGCGGCGGACGGGUGAGUAACACGUGGAUAACCUACCUAUAAGACUGGGAUAACUUCGGGAAACCGGAGCUAAUACCGGAUAAUAUUUUGAACCGCAUGGUUCAAAAGUGAAAGACGGUCUUGCUGUCACUUAUAGAUGGAUCCGCGCUGCAUUAGCUAGUUGGUAAGGUAACGGCUUACCAAGGCAACGAUGCAUAGCCGACCUGAGAGGGUGAUCGGCCACACUGGAACUGAGACACGGUCCAGACUCCUACGGGAGGCAGCAGUAGGGAAUCUUCCGCAAUGGGCGAAAGCCUGACGGAGCAACGCCGCGUGAGUGAUGAAGGUCUUCGGAUCGUAAAACCCUGUUAUUAGGGAAGAACAUAUGUGUAAGUAACUGUGCACAUCUUGACGGUACCUAAUCAGAAAGCCACGGCUAACUACGUG